rnacentral:rRNA from 1 species
GAAACCGUGUACGUACAAGCAGUGGGAGCACAGAGCAAUCUGUGUGACUGCGUACCUUUUGUAUAAUGGGUCAGCGACUUAUAUUCUGUAGCAAGGUUAACCGAAUAGGGGAGCCGAAGGGAAACCGAGUCUUAACUGGGCGUUAAGUUGCAGGGUAUAGACCCGAAACCCGGUGAUCUAGCCAUGGGCAGGUUGAAGGUUGGGUAACACUAACUGGAGGACCGAACCGACUAAUGUUGAAAAAUUAGCGGAUGACUUGUGGCUGGGGGUGAAAGGCCAAUCAAACCGGGAGAUAGCUGGUUCUCCCCGAAAGCUAUUUAGGUAGCGCCUCGUGAAUUCAUCUCCGGGGGUAGAGCACUGUUUCGGCAAGGGGGUCAUCCCGACUUACCAACCCGAUGCAAACUGCGAAUACCGGAGAAUGUUAUCACGGGAGACACACGGCGGGUGCUAACGUCCGUCGUGAAGAGGGAAACAACCCAGACCGCCAGCUAAGGUCCCAAAGUCAUGGUUAAGUGGGAAACGAUGUGGGAAGGCCCAGACAGCCAGGAUGUUGGCUUAGAAGCAGCCAUCAUUUAAAGAAAGCGUAAUAGCUCACUGGUCGAGUCGGCCUGCGCGGAAGAUGUAACGGGGCUAAACCAUGCACCGAAGCUGCGGCAGCGACGCUGAUGCGUUGUUGGGUAGGGGAGCGUUCUGUAAGCCUGUGAAGGUGUGCUGUGAGGCAUGCUGGAGGUAUCAGAAGUGCGAAUGCUGACAUAAGUAACGAUAAAGCGGGUGAAAAGCCCGCUCGCCGGAAGACCAAGGGUUCCUGUCCAACGUUAAUCGGGGCAGGGUGAGUCGACCCCUAAGGCGAGGCCGAAAGGCGUAGUCGAUGGGAAACAGGUUAAUAUUCCUGUACUUGGUGUUACUGCGAAGGGGGGACGGAGAAGGCUAUGUUGGCCGGGCGACGGUUGUCCCGGUUUAAGCGUGUAGGCUGGUUUUCCAGGCAAAUCCGGAAAACUAAGGCUGAGGCGUGAUGACGAGGCACUACGGUGCUGAAGCAACAAAUGCCCUGCUUCCAGGAAAAGCCUCUAAGCAUCAGGUAACAUCAAAUCGUACCCCAAACCGACACAGGUGGUCAGGUAGAGAAUACCAAGGCGCUUGAGAGAACUCGGGUGAAGGAACUAGGCAAAAUGGUGCCGUAACUUCGGGAGAAGGCACGCUGAUAUGUAGGUGAAGUCCCUCGCGGAUGGAGCUGAAAUCAGUCGAAGAUACCAGCUGGCUGCAACUGUUUAUUAAAAACACAGCACUGUGCAAACACGAAAGUGGACGUAUACGGUGUGACGCCUGCCCGGUGCCGGAAGGUUAAUUGAUGGGGUCAGCGCAAGCGAAGCUCUUGAUCGAAGCCCCGGUAAACGGCGGCCGUAACUAUAACGGUCCUAAGGUAGCGAAAUUCCUUGUCGGGUAAGUUCCGACCUGCACGAAUGGCGUAAUGAUGGCCAGGCUGUCUCCACCCGAGACUCAGUGAAAUUGAACUCGCUGUGAAGAUGCAGUGUACCCGCGGCAAGACGGAAAGACCCCGUGAACCUUUACUAUAGCUUGACACUGAACAUUGAGCCUUGAUGUGUAGGAUAGGUGGGAGGCUUUGAAGUGUGGACGCCAGUCUGCAUGGAGCCGACCUUGAAAUACCACCCUUUAAUGUUUGAUGUUCUAACGUUGACCCGUAAUCCGGGUUGCGGACAGUGUCUGGUGGGUAGUUUGACUGGGGCGGUCUCCUCCUAAAGAGUAACGGAGGAGCACGAAGGUUGGCUAAUCCUGGUCGGACAUCAGGAGGUUAGUGCAAUGGCAUAAGCCAGCUUGACUGCGAGCGUGACGGCGCGAGCAGGUGCGAAAGCAGGUCAUAGUGAUCCGGUGGUUCUGAAUGGAAGGGCCAUCGCUCAACGGAUAAAAGGUACUCCGGGGAUAACAGGCUGAUACCGCCCAAGAGUUCAUAUCGACGGCGGUGUUUGGCACCUCGAUGUCGGCUCAUCACAUCCUGGGGCUGAAGUAGGUCCCAAGGGUAUGGCUGUUCGCCAUUUAAAGUGGUACGCGAGCUGGGUUUAGAACGUCGUGAGACAGUUCGGUCCCUAUCUGCCGUGGGCGCUGGAGAACUGAGGGGGGCUGCUCCUAGUACGAGAGGACCGGAGUGGACGCAUCACUGGUGUUCGGGUUGUCAUGCCAAUGGCACUGCCCGGUAGCUAAAUGCGGAAGAGAUAAGUGCUGAAAGCAUCUAAGCACGAAACUUGCCCCGAGAUGAGUUCUCCCUGACUCCUUGAGAGUCCUGAAGGAACGUUGAAG